GACGAACGCUGGCGGCGUGCUUAACACAUGCAAGUCGAACGGAAAGGCCCUGCGUUUGUGGGGUGCUCGAGUGGCGAACGGGUGAGUAACACGUGAGUAACCUGCCCUUGACUUUGGGAUAACUUCAGGAAACUGGGGCUAAUACCGGAUAGGAGAUCCUGCUGCAUGGUGGGGGUUGGAAAGUUUCGGCGGUUGGGGAUGGACUCGCGGCUUAUGAGCUUGUUGGGGGGGUAGUGGCUUACCAAGGCUUUGACGGGUAGCCGGCCUGGGAGCGUGACCGGCCACAUUGGGACUGAGAUACGGCCCAGACUCCUACGGGAGGCAGCAGUGGGGAAUAUUGCACAAUGGGCGGAAGCCUGAUGCAGCAACGCCGCGUGCGUGAUGACGGCCUUCGGGUUGUAAACCGCUUUCGCCUGUGACGAAGCGUGAGUGACGGUAAUGGGUAAAGAAGCACCGGCUAACUACGUG
rnacentral:rRNA from 1 species